CGAAGGACGAACGCUGGCGGCGUGCCUAACACAUGCAAGUCGAACGAGGUCCAAGGAAGCUUGCUUCCUGAAGACCUAGUGGCGAACGGGUGAGUAACACGUGAGAAACCUGCCUCGGAGUGGGGAAUAACUCGGGGAAACUCGAGCUAAUACCGCAUACCUUCACAUGAUCGCAUGGUCGAGUGAAGAAGAAUUUCGCUCUGAGAGGGUCUCGCGGCCUAUCAGCUUGUUGGUGGGGUAACGGCCUACCAAGGCAACGACGGGUAGCUGGUUUGAGAGAACGAUCAGCCACACUGGGACUGAGACACGGCCCAGACUCCUACGGGAGGCAGCAGUGGGGAAUCUUGCGCAAUGGGCGAAAGCCUGACGCGGCAACGCCGCGUGCGGGAUGACGGCCUUCGUGGUUGUAAACCGCUUUCAGCAGGGACGAAAAUGACGGUACCUGCAGAAGAAGCCCCGGCUAACUACGUG
rnacentral:rRNA from 1 species